AACGCGAAGAACCUUACCAAGGUUUGACAUGCAGGGAAAAGCCGUAGAGAUACGGUGUCCGUAAGGGUCCUGCACAGGUGGUGCAUGGCUGUCGUCAGCUCGUGUCGUGAGAUGUUGGGUUAAGUCCCGCAACGAGCGCAACCCUUGUCUCAUGUUGCCAGCGGGUAAUGCCGGGGACUCGUGAGAGACCGCCGGGGUCAACUCGGAGGAAGGUGGGGAUGACGUCAAGUCAUCAUGCCCCUUAUGUCCAGGGCUUCACACAUGCUACAAUGGCCGGUACAAAGGGCUGCGAUGCCGCAAGGUUAAGCGAAAUCCUUUUAAAGCCGGUCUCAGUUCGGAUCGGGGUCUGCAACUCGACCCCGUGAAGUCGGAGUCGCUAGUAAUCGCAGAUCAGCAACGCUGCGGUGAAUACGUUCCCGGGCCUUGUACCACCGGACACGC
rnacentral:rRNA from 1 species